UUUCUUUAAAAAAAAAAAAUUAUUAUUCAGUUUUGAAAAAAUAUGAUGCACUUAUGUAUUGUUGAAAACAUAGUUGUUCGUAACUUAAUUUUUAAUCAUAGCGGAAGUCAGAAAUAUACUAUAAAAGAUGAGGUACACUUAACUUUCCCAUGGAUAUUAAUUGUCUUCAAGGGGCACUAUCAAUUCAUUCCAUGUUCGAUAGAUAGUGCGCCAGUACUCAACUCAACUAAAGUUUUAUCCUAAAAAUUUAUUGGGGU
rnacentral:misc_RNA from 1 species